rnacentral:lncRNA from 1 species
GACAGGUUUAAAUACUAAGAAGUGCAAAAGUGCAAAGGUGCAAGAAAAAAAUCCCAAUUUAAUUGAAUAACGGUGUUGGAGCAUAAAAAAGACAUUUUUAUACUUUCCUUUUUUGAAAUUGAGUAUAGAAACACCGUACUAUAAAGGGGGUAGCUUGAAGAUGUCAAAGUAUUCGUUUGAGAUGCUAACCACCCAUGAGAGACACCACUCACACACUUGCAUAUUUAAUUUCUCACAGUUUAUGUGAGUGUUGGAAGUUCUAACGUGAGGUCGGAAGUUCUGACACCUGCUGGAAGUUUUCAAAAACUUCCGAUAGAGGUGCUUAGCGGAUUUAAUUUAACAGAGUCGGAAGUUCCGAUGAUAGGUACCGGAAGUUUCCAGUAACUUCCGGUAGGGUUCCCAGCUAUUUUUAUUUGAGCUAUGUUGGAAGUUCUGACCCAGUGUCGGAAGUUCCGACAAGCACAUAAUAGAAAUGCAACGGCUAGUUUUUGGGGUUCAGAUAUUUAUACAGCUCUCCCCCCAUUUGCUGCUGACCAACCACGAGACAAACACCUCCUUGAGCAUUCAAUACUCAUCCCCACUCCUUCCUCGAGCUAAAUUUUUGAGAGCUUUGAUCUAGGACUUGGGUGGGAGAAGGAUUAGAGGUGUGAGACUUGGGGCUUUGAGUGUGAGGUUUAAUAAGUUCAUCUCAAGAGCACUUGAAGCAUCUUUGGUCUUCGAUUCACGUUUGUUACUCUUGAAGCUUGCUUCUAGAUGGUUUGGUGUCGCCCGUUUGAGCGUCCUCUUUGCGUGGUACGCCCGUGAAGUUUGUAUCACCCAUCCUCUUUGUGAGGAUUUAUAGUAGGAUUUAUAGUAAGUGACUCAAUUCUCCUAUGUGGUUGAUUGAGAGAGAUAAAGGGUUAGUGAGGAUCCA